CGGGCUGCUCCUCUUCUUCAUAAAAAAGGGUUGCUCCAGUUCAAACAAAAAAAGGGCUGCUUCUCUGUUCCUCGACGCUGCGUCGCCGCCGUCCUUCGUCCCGGCGGUGAGCUUCUACAGAAGAUAUGCUUCGGCCGUUCUUCCAUGGCGGCUGCGGCGGCCGCACCUGCCGUCGGCGUCCAUCUCCGACUGUCUUCCUCCUGCGUUCGCCUCCAUGCCUUGCAGCUAUGACGCACGUCCCUCCCCAUUCCAUACCUGAAACUGAAACUGCCGCCGCGCUGAUGCGUAAUUAUCCUGUAAUAAUGGUGAUAAUUUGCGUCAUCACAGUUUCCUGUUCUCCUUCAUAUAUUGCCUCACGCCAUCCCUUCCUUCCCGCCUUCCGUUCUCCCUCAUAUAUAUUACGCCUCCCACCAUCUCUUUCUUCUUGUCUUCUUUGUCGUCUCUCACCUCCCGCUGUUGGACGGCCAUGCCCGUUGCUUAGUUUCGUUCUUGCCAACCAUCCAUCUUCCUCCCUCUAAUUAUCCUUCAUGUAUUCAUAUCUACAAAACAGACAUAUUAUUCCUCCUUGCAUGUUUGUGGUGCUCCUUCGUUGGGGUUCCCCGGGGUGUGCGUCACACCCAAUUGCAACAAUGUCUGCUGGACAGGCCCAUGGAACCGAUGAGUGCCAGGCACGUUGAGCUAGCAGUCCAAGAAGAGUCCUGCCCCAAAGUAAGCGGGCAAGGAAAGGAUUAAUGAACCACUUACUAUAUACAAUUCGAUUGGGCGACCAAAAAGAACGAGUAUGUUAAUUCACCUCUGCUUCUGCUACUUUACAGCCAUAUUUAUCUUACACUUGACAUACUCUUGUGUUUAUGAACCACAUACGAGAAUACAAUUGCCUAUUUAGUUCACAUCUCUUGGAGCUCAUACAGACAAAAACAUCAUGACGCCCACAAGCGGAUAUGUAUUAUGUCCAUCACUAUCGGGAUACCAUCUCCAUUUGUCGAGUACAUGGUGGUCCUGAUACAUUCACAACUUUUACUUGCAAUCCUAAAUGGCCAGAAGUUGGUGAGGCACUUUGGAUUUAACCUGGACAACACCCAUCAGAUCGGUUGACAUUGUUAAUAGGGUGUACAAAAUGAAGCAAGACAACAUAAUUGAUGACAUUAAAAGAGGCAAGGUUUCUGGACCUGCUGUAGCAGGGAUCAUGAUGUCGACUGCAGCGAUGGAUGGUGAGUAGUGGUAGUACACGAUGCAGUGUCAAUAGCUCUUCAAGGUGCGAAGGAGGAGCACCUGAUCCAGUCCUCGCUACUCUUUCAUUGUUCUAUCUAAAGAAAUUGCUUAGGGAAUAAGACUCUUUGUUAUCCAAUAGCAUGCUCCAAGUUAUCUUCCAAGAGAUGCGAACAAUCCCCAAGUUAUCUGUGUAUUCCUGGCAAUGUGUACACAGAAUUUAGA